rnacentral:lncRNA from 1 species
GACAGCAGGUUUGUCUGUCUACACUCACAGCUCUCUCUAAGAGGAGACACAAGAUGAAGACUGAGGCCGUUUAUGAGGAGAUUCAGCACAGACUCACUACCAGAGACAGUCUCUUCACUCAGAGGGGAAGUGUCCUUUCUGAAGAACAGCAUUCUGGGUAUGAAGAUGCUGAUGAGCUUCUUUCAGGUUGGAGUACUUAAAUAUAGUAAUGUCACCCGCUACUAAACCCUAUGUACUGUAUGUUGUGUAAUGCAUAUAUUAUAUAAAUAAAUAAAUCAUUCUAAAAACAUUCAUAUAGCAAGUUAUCUUAGCAGAAAUCAUAUACACCAUUCAACACACAAUUUAGCAUAAUUUAUAAUAUGGUUUUUAUUUAUUUAUUUAGUUAUUUCGCCUUUCCUAAUAAUGUGCUAGUUAGCCAGUGUAACGCAAUAAAAACUUCAUAAUCACAGGAAGAAGGAGGCAGGAACCAGGGAACAUUCAAAUGAAACUUUAAUAACCAAAU